UGGGAUACCACUUGGAAACAGGUGCUAAUACCGGAUAACAACAAUAGCUGCAUGGCUAUUGCUUAAAAGGCGGCGAAAGCUGUCGCUAAAGGAUGGACCCGCGGUGCAUUAGCUAGUUGGUAAGGUAAUGGCUUACCAAGGCGACGAUGCAUAGCCGAGUUGAGAGACUGAUCGGCCACAUUGGGACUGAGACACGGCCCAAACUCCUACGGGAGGCAGCAGUAGGGAAUCUUCCACAAUGGGCGAAAGCCUGAUGGAGCAACGCCGCGUGAGUGAAGAAGGUUUUCGGAUCGUAAAGCUCUGUUGUUGGUGAAGAAGGAUAGAGGUAGUAACUGGCCCCUAUUUGACGGUAAUCAACCAGAAAGUCACGGCUAACUACGUGCCAGCAGCCGCGGUAAUACGUAGGUGGCAAGCGUUGUCCGGAUUUAUUGGGCGUAAAGCGAGCGCAGCGGAAAGAUAAGUCUGAUGUGAAAGCCCCCGGCUUAACCGAGGAAUUGCAUCGGAAACUGUGUUUCUUGAGUGCAGAAGAGGAGAGUGGAACUCCAUGUGUAGCGGUGGAAUGCGUAGAUAUAUGGAAGAACACCAGUGGCGAAGGCGGCUCUCUGGUCUGUAACUGACGCUGAGGCUCGAAAGCAUGGGUAGCGAACAGGAUUAGAUACCCUGGUAGUCCAUGCCGUAAACG
rnacentral:rRNA from 1 species